ACCUCUCAGAGUGGGGGUACCAACAGAGAGAACCACACAUUGCCUGUCAUGUUACAGGUUUUGACAGGACUUUGUUUUAUGUCAUUGGUACCUUUUAGAAGAUGCAAGCAGACGAAGCAACUAUAUCACAGUCAUCCGUGUGCAGAAUCAUCAAAGAUUUUUCUGAGGCAAUAGCAAGGAGUAACAGUCAAUGAAGUUUCCGAUGACGAGAAAUUCAAACCACCCAGCGACAAUUUGAUGAUUGCUACAGGUUUCCAAGAGUCAUAGGUGCUAUCGAUUGGGGCCAAUCCAGGCCAUGUCUGCAUCAGGAGUCCUGAUGGGGAACAAGCCCUGUACUUAGCAGGAAGAACAGGUCUUCUGUAAAUGUAUAGGUAUCCGUUGCUCCCCUCUUUGAUGAAUUCCUGCCUGCAUUCUGUUGUCAAUAGAAAAGGACGGUGUGCUACGGGUAUAAGCAUUCCAUUGGAUUAUCUGUGCAUGAAAGUGGACACUUGUGAUAAAAAAUGGUAGCUUGGUUGUAGUGGCGUACCUAGGAUUUUCCACAGGGAGGGCAAAACCGUUUGGCCGAAAAAUUUUACAAGUAAAAAAAAAAAGGUCUUCAAUCACAAAUAAAGGAUUUCGUACCAGAAAUAAAAUUGACAAGCAAAAAAAAAAGUUGUUCAAGCUCGUCAGGGGGGCAGGUAUACGUCCUUUGCAUGGGUUGUGGCUCGUCAGGGGGGGGGGCAGAGUGCCCCCCCCCCCCCCGUAGGUACGCUAGUGCUUGGUUGAUAGGAUGUAUUCAUGCAUUCCGAUUUAUCAUUAGUGAUCAAAUGACCAUCUUGCUUUUUAAAAACCCAAGUUCACAACAUUUUUCUUGUUUGAUAAAAGGUUUGGGACGUGAAUUCCACGAUAUAAAUGACACAUAUGAUGGGCUAAUGUAUAAGCAGGGACAUGAGAGGUAUAAGCAACAUUUUUUUCAUGCUUAAUUAAGUUUGGCAUGAGAUGGACUUGGUCUUUCUUAUGAUUCAAGUCUAUUUUAUACCAAUUUUGUUUUAAUCAACAAUCAAUGUUUUAAGUCUCAUGAUUUCAAUUUCAAAACAUCUUUGUUAAUUAAAUAUUCAUUUUUUCCUUAGCAUUUGCAUCUUCUUAAUUUAUCAAAUUUAAAUUAUAAGAUAUCAUUUUUGCUGAAUAUCCUUUUUUUCACCUAUUUUCAUAGGCCCUAAGAUACAUUUCUGUAGUAAGCACUAUAAAUACAUUGCAAGCUAUUAUCAUUUGUUUGAUAUUACUAUUUUAUAGAAUCAUCUUUUAAUUUCUUUCAGAAAGAUAUUUGACAAAUUACUUGUGAUAUCCAUGCUUUAGCUGUAGAGUUUAAAAUCUUCAUUAAACUUUAUUUAAUCCGUUGUUUAUCUAUUUUCAUUCAGAGUUUCUGAAAACGUAAACAUAUCAUUUGUAUCAUGUAAAGAAUUUCAAUCUACCUUAAAAAGUAAUGCACUAAAUAAACUGCUCUGUCUACUACACAUGUACAUAUAAGUUUUGAUUUUAAAG